AUGGGAAGCAAGUGGCAGAGCCGAGUGUGCACCUGGAACCCCAAUGUUGAGGUCUCUGGUCAAGGCGGCCCCCACUCUCCUUUCAUUCGCAACCCCCCACCCCCAGCCCACACUACCUGCCAGUUUUACAUCUGUUUGGACAGGAAGCCUUACAACCCUGCUCUGCUAUUUUUAGGAAGCGCUCACAUUGAGUCAGCCUUUCUGCUGGAUUCACGCCCUCUGCUUGAUGGUUCUCGGGCUGUCUGCCUUUUCAGCAGGAGCCUCGGGCUCACAUCCUCAGACACCACUUCCCAGCGGCCUUUGCGGGAACAAGAUGGCAGCCCCCAUACCUCAAGGCCAGUUCUGGUGACUCAGUCCUCAGCUAUAGUUCCAGUAAGAACUAAAAAACAUUUCACACCUCCUGUUUAUCAACCUAAAUUUAAAACAGAAAAAGAGUUUAUGGAACAUGCCUGGAAAGCAGGAUUGGUUAUUCCUCCAGAAAAAUCGGACCGUUCCAUACAUCUGGCCUGUACAGCUGGUAUAUUUGAUGCCUAUGUUCCUCCUGAGGGUGAUGCACGCAUAUCAUCUCUUUCAAAGGAGGGACUGAUACACAGAACUGAAGGAAUGAAGACGACUAUGGCAUCGCAAAUGUCAAUCCGGAGGAUAAAAGACUAUGAUGCCAAUUUUAAAAUAAAGGACUUCCCUGAAAAAGCUAAGGAUAUCUUUAUUGAAGCUCACCUUUGUCUCAACAACUCAGACCAUGACCGACUUCAUACCUUGGUAACUGAACACUGUUUUCCAGACAUGACCUGGGACAUCAAAUAUAAGACCAUCCACUGGAGCUUCAUGGAAUCUUUAGAGCCCUCCCAUGUUGUUCAAGUUUGCUGUUCAAGUAUGAUGAACCAGGGCAAUGUGUACGGCCAGAUCACCGUACGCAUGCACACCCGGCAGACUCUGGCCAUCUAUGACCGGUUUGGCCGGUGAUGUAUGGACAGGAAGAUGUACCCAAGGAUGUCCUGGAGUAUGUUGUAUUCGAAAAGCAGUUGACAAACCCAUAUGGAAGUUGGAGAAUGCAUAGCAAGAUCGUUCCCCCAUGGGCACCCCCUAAGCAGCCCAUCCUUAAGACAGUGAUGAUCCCUGGCCCUCAGCUGAAACCAGAAGAAUAUGAAGAGGCACAAGGAGAGGCCCAGAAGCCUCAGCUAGCCUGAUGACAAAAAUGACUUCUGGGGUGAAGCCUGGGUGAUGAGGCUGCUGGAAGCUUUGAAGUCUCCCAUUCCCAUCAUGCUACAGAAAGAACUACCUUUGUUCUCUCUCAUCCUGCUCAGGUCUUUUCAGUAGUCUCAUCCUCAGCAACCAUGGCUGAUGGCUGGGCCCUAGCAGGUGGCAGGUAUAACAUGGCCAUGUACACUCUUCUUUUUUAAAUUUUAUAUCAAGCUUCUGAGUCUAGAUGAAAGACAGUAUGUUUCAGAGAACAUUGGAUACCAGUUUUUUCCACAGCAGGGUCUGUGAGAGAGAACCAGCAGCAUCCUCUUUGUAAUCACAGAGCAGGGAUCAGAGUUUGAAAUAAAAUGCUGUCAGAGUGUUGGUUUAAAAAAAAAAAAAAAAAAAGCAGCCAAACAAACACCCCAGUUGAGAAAAACCAAGUAAUUAGAUAUAUUUUAAUAUAUAAAAUGUUACACUUGUUAAAUGUUAUUGACCAUAGCUUUCUCAUCCCUGCUUAUGAUCCUUGUUGGCUUUUAUUUUCUAACAUUCUUUAGGCUGCAGGUAACAAAAAGCAAACUCCAACUAAACUGAAGCAGUAAAUGAGUGGAAGGACUCUGAGGUGACUGACGAGCUUGACAAACAAGCUCAUGGGCCCUCCCUCAAGGACUAGAAGGCAAGGCUGAAAACCAUCAGGACACUGCCUCUCGCUGGAUGUCUGCUUCAUUCUCAAUUUUUUCCCAUGAGGUUGGAAUCAAGGUUGUCAGCAUCACUGGGACUUCUUCCUUUCCUGAGAGAAAAUAUCUUCCUAGCUCCAGUUAGAUAGAUCCUAGGGAGCGACACCUAUGUGACCUAUUUGGGGUCACAUUCCUGUCCUGUGGACGGGUGUCUGUGACCAGGGAAGAAAGAUCGGAAAGAACUUGAACUUUGAGGCCGGGCGCAAUGGCUCAGCAGUGGCUCACGCCUGUAAUCCCAGCACUCUCGGAGGCCG